rnacentral:lncRNA from 1 species
CUUCCGCAAGUGUAGGCAGAGCCCCCGGAGCCAUGGCCAGCCCUUCCCGCAGCUCCGAAGCCACUGGCAAGCCCCGAGGCAGGGAUGGCCGGCCCAGGAGGGAGGAGGACGACGUCCCUCCCGAAGAGAAGAGGCUGCGGCUCUUGCUGGAGGGGGGAAGCGCACAGCCCCAGGACGGCGAGGACGGGGAGGACGCGCCGCGGCCGGGCAGGGUGGAGACCGGCACCCAGACAGGUGGCGACGGCAGAGGAGUAAGUGACGCGGGCGCGGGGGUCCGGGGGUGCCGGGUGCGCGGGGAUGCGGGGAACGAGGGGUAGGGGCGGCGAGAGGCUCCGUGGCCUGCCCCGGGUUGAAGUUGGGAGGGCGGCCUUCAUUCUGAACCCAUUUAGGCAGCACGGGCAGCCCUCCUCGCCGUGGGCUGCAUCAGAGCCCCCCCUGCCCAGUCUUGGGGUUGCUCCCGGAUGCUGUCUGGGAGGCUUGGUCAUGGUGACAUCCUCAUCUCCCCGUGCACGUUACCGCAUUCAGAGCUUGGGUCACCUGGACACUGAACUCAGGCGAAUUUUCUCUGAGAUCCCGGGAGAAGGAGGACAGUUCUUUGGAAGGUUUUCCAGGGCCGAUCACGGAAAGGAUGAGAAGGGAGAGGUCCUGGUCGGGGACACAAUUACAAUGGCAGUGUAACGCCGGGAAACUUCAUUGCAUGAAGUCCUUCUCACUCCCUCUACCUACCUCUUUUACGUGGACUCUGCCAAAGACCAGGAUACCACAAUGCAGUGGAGUGACCAAGUGUAGUGGGACCUUGGGAACCCGAGUCUGGAGCCAGGCGGCUGGGGUUUGCAUCCUGGUUCUGCCCCUCCUUAGCUGGCUGACAUGGCACAAGCCACUUACCCUCUCUGAGCCUUACUGUCUUCAGUGGCAAAUGGAUUUGCCAACAGGCCCCAUUGCCUGGGGUUGUUACUGCUGAGAUUAAGGGAUGCUCGUCCAUAGAAGCACUUAGCGUUGUGCCUGGCACAUAGUGUAUGGUGGAUAAAUGGGACUUAGGACUAAAACUCAUGCCUUGGUGUGUUUUUGCAGUGAUGUUUUGUUCUGGGGUGCAUCACAAGAGACAAGGUUCCUGGCCGGGCAUGGUGGCUCAAGCCAAUAAUUCCAACACUUUGAGAGGCCGAAAGGGGAGGAUCGCUUGAGCCCAGGAGUUUAAGACCAGCUGGGCAACAUGGCGAAGCCUCAUAUCUACCAAAAAAAAAAAAAAAAAAAAAAAAAAAAAAAAAAAAAGCCAGGUAUGGUGGUGUGUGCCUGUAGUCCCAAGUACUUGGGAGGCUGAGGUGGGAGGAUUACUAGAGCCUGGAAGGUCGGGCUGCAGUGAGCUGUGAUCAUGCCACUGCACUCCAGCCUGGGUGACAAAGUGAGACUCUGUUUCAAGGAAAAGAGAGAGAGACAGACAGACCCACAAGAGUCUUAAGCCAGAAUCUUCAUGUUAAAAUGCCUUCUGGAGGCUAAAAGGAUGAUAUGUUGAUAAUGAAAUAUUUAAAAGGCAGAAACCCCACUGAAUUGUUUGGUCCACAGAGGGAAAUGGGAAUCGCAUGACCUGAAGGAUGAUGGAGGAACUGAACAGAAACCAUCCUUGUUUCCUGAAUCUGAACAUGGCACCCUCUUUUCACGGUGUCUGUAUCUGCUCAGUCCGGCGGCCCCUCGAAAAGAGGGAAUCUUGAUUUUCAAACUUAAAAUUUGGCCCAAAGCCCACUGCUGCCCACAAUGCCCGUCAGACACAUUCCUCUUCCUUUUUAGUUUCUAUGGGAAUACUCUCUUUGAAGAACCCAUGAAGCAGUGUCAGGCUGGUACGAGGAUCAGCAGUGAUUUCUUUGAGGAGGAGAUCCGUUUCUUCACUCACAGGUCAUGUCUGAGUGGAUCAAGAAGAACAGAGGGCCCUUUUAUGAGAUUUUGUCUGCGUAGACCAUUAGCUUGGUAAAAAUGUCAAAACCAUCCUCAUUCUUUAAUAGCAGAUUAUUUUGGACUUUUCUCUGCAAGAAGCAGCAUGGGCAUUCAGAUGCGUUUAAGGAUAAAAUGUUCUUUCUCAUCACCAGGCCUGGUGCUCUGGAUGGCUGAGGUUUUAAUGUGACUUGGUGUUCCUUGGAGUGGCUCCCAGGCUGUGAUCUUGUGGUCGGGUGGCAAGGGGUUGCUUUAUUCGGUGAUGGCUAGAGGAUGUUUUAGCAGGUAAAUCGGGAUCUCAGGAGCCCCUGAGUGCCAAGUCCUGCUGCAGGGCAUGUGUUUAUGGUGGGGAUGUGGGGGCGUGGAGGGUGGGGGGUAUUGAUUUCCUGCCAAUAUCAGAAGUUUCACAGGCUUCUUGUGUAUCCACAAACACCCACCCCAUUGAGAAGGCCUAGAAAACCUGGCCCUCCCCAAGCCUUUAUUGACCACUUGUGAAUGAUCCCAGGGUGUGUCUGACCCACAGCUCCUCCUGGAGGGAGAGAAAAGUGUCUCCUAGGUACUUGGUUAUCAACCUCAACCACUUGCUGAGCCUUCCCCAAGACCAGGCAUCUUGGCAGAGAUUUCUGGGUUGUCAGGCAGAACCGAGCAUUCGAGGGUAAUAACUCACUGGAGUCCCUGAAAUCCCUGAUGGACACACCAGGUAAAAGCAUCCAGGGUUGAAACCAGAUCAGGAAGGUUGUUGUCAGCCUGGGGCUCCUGUAGAGGUGCAUCCACGUUGCAGGGAUUUUCCUUCUUGCUGAGGAGAAACCUGGUUUCUCAGCUUUGCCACAGUCACAACACUUGGGGUGAGACCAUUCAUGGUGGUGGUGGGGGCAUCCUGUGUAUUGUAGGAUGGCUAGCACCAUCCCUGGUCUCCAUCCUCUAGGUGCCAUUCUAUCCUCCCAGCUGUGGCUACCCCAGAUGUCUCCAGAUGGUCUCAAAUGCUGUGGGGCAAGGGAGUGGUACGUGAGCAAAACCACCCCAGUUGAGAGCCAUUGGUCUACACUUGUGGAAAUGUUUGAGGCUGGACUACACAGGCUGAAGCUCUCUCUGCCGAGAUAUAGAUAUUUCCCUGGUGACGAUCUUUCAAGCUGACAUGAAGACAUGGCCACCCACUGGAACGUCGUGUGUCUGCCGUGGCGCUCUUGUAAUUUGUGAGGCAGGCUCCUGAGGAAUGCAGUGCGUAAGUGGGAAAUGGUGGGAAGUUCUCGCAUCCCCCCCCGGGCCGAAAGUGCUGCCUGCACAGGUUGGUGGAUGGUCCUUUGAGCAGGAAGAAGACAUGAAGCACAUUCCUGUUAGCUACGACAGAGAGGGGCAGGGCACACACUGGACAUUUCAAGCCCCUCCAGAAAAGCAAGUCUUACUGUGCUGGGAGUACUUGUGGAGUGCGGGCUGUGUUGCCCUGGGCUUUAAUUAUUUCAGGAACAUUUAACCACAGGGUUGGCAGGCCGGAUCUUGAUACGUGUUUCUUAGUUGGAAAGACUUUGGACCAUAGGGAAAUGUCUUCUCAAUUCUUUUAAUUUCAUUAAGGUUAUCAUUUUUCUUCUUGUGGCCUCUGGAAUGUGACACAGAACUCAAGAGACAGGAAGGAAAUGAGUUGAAGGCUGGGACAGGGGUCCCUGCCAGGGAUGCUGGUGACUCACAUGACGGUGUUGAUGUGUGGAGUCCGGUGCCUGGUUUGGGGAGUGUUCAUGGGAUAUGUUCCAAAGGACUGACGGACCUAUCAGGCACAGUGGCUCACACCUGUAAUCCCAGCACUUUGGCAGGUCGAGGCUGGUGGAUCACCUAAGGUCAGGAGUUCGAGACCAGCCUGGCCAACAUGGCGGAACUGUCUCUACUGAAAAUACAGAAAUUAGCCAGGUGUGAUGGCACACACCUGUAAUCACAGCUGCUUGGGAGGCUGAGGCAGGAGAAUCAUUUGAACCUGGGAGACAGAGGUUGCAGUCAGCCGAGAUCGCACCAAUGCACUUCAGCCAGCCUGGGUGACAGAGUGAGACCCUGUUUCAAAAAUAAAUAAAUAAAUAAAAUAGAAUUCUGAAUUUUAUUUUUAAUAAUUAUUUUCUAAAAAGAAUGUCUUGUUUUCUGGAGCUGUUGAAUUUAUUGAAUUGACAAAAAUUAUGUACAAGAGGGUACAACAUGAUGAGAUUGAAGUAUGUAUACAUUACAAAAUGGCUAGAUCAAGCUAAAUAACAUAUCACCUCCCAGACUUAUUUUUUUAUGGUGAGAACACUUAAAAAAUCUACUCUCUUAGUGAUUUCCAAGUGUAUGAUAUGUUGUUAUUAACUAUAGGUACCAUGUUGUCCCAUGGAUAUCCUGAACUUAUUCUUCUUCUCUAAAAAUGACAUUCUGUGUCCUUUGGCAUCUGCCCACUUCCCCACCCUGGCAACCAUCAUUCUACUCUGCUUCUGUGAACUCAACUUUUUUCUUUUCUUUUUCAUUCUUUUUUUUUUUGAGACAAUCUCAUUCUAUUGCCCAGGCUGUAGUGCAGGGGUGUGAUCUUGGCUCACUGCAGCCUUGAAUUCCCAAGCUCAAUCAAUCCUCCCACCUCGGCCUCCUGAGUAUCUGGGAGUACAGGCAUGCACCACCAUGCUCCACUAAUUUUUGCAUUUUUUUGUAGAGAUGGGGUCUUGCUAUGUUAUGCAGGCUGGUCUCGAACUCCUGGGCUCAAGCAAUCUGCCGGCCUCAGCCUCUCAAAGUGCUGGGAUUACAGGCAUGAGCCACCAUGCCUGGCCGAGUUCAACUUUUUUAGAUUUCACAUAUAAGUGAGAUCAUGUGGUAUUUGUCGUUUUGUGCCUGGCUUAUUUCACUUAACAUAAUAUCCUCCAGGCUCAUCCAUGUUUUCUCAAAUGGCAGGAUUUACUUCUUUUUGAAGGCUGAAUAGUAUUCCAUUGUGUACGUACACUACAUUGUUGCUGGAAGUGUAAUGGAGGCCAGUUGGGGGAGGAGGGGGAAAAGAUUCACUCUAAGUAUAGAUGCUCCAGCACCCACCCAGGUUGUGUGCAAGGAAGUGCAGGAUGCUCCUGGUCUUGCAAACUGUGGUUUGUGGGACUCCAAAGCCCCUAUCCUUCCACAGUGCUUUCUGUCUUGUUAUCACAUUUCCUUGGAGGAGAGCCCAGCCUUGGUGGAGAGCCCUGCUCUGGCUUUGUCCCUCGGCAUGAGAUGGCAGAGGAUGGUGCUGCUGGGAGACCCUCACGUCUGCACACUGGGGGCUGCUUGCCUUCUCCAUUCCUCCUUCAAGUAUCUGAGCAGCUCCUGUGUGCCAGCUGCUGGUCUACAAGAUGGAUGGGUCCUUGGAGAUCACGCUGUAGCAGAGGAGGCAGGCUGUAGCCCACACGCCACAACCAGCCCCCUGCCUGUUCACACAAAUAAAGUUUUAU